AUGUGGGCCACAUCUGUCGGGCUGUUGUGGCAUGCUUGUGUGGACAAUUUUGCUGAGUUGGAUGAGGUCCCAUCUGUCAAUGACUCGAGUGUUUAUCUUUUUCACCUUUUCUUUUUUCAUUUUUCUCAUGGGCAUUACAGCAAACAGGCUAUGGGCGUCUCGGCUCCACGACCAGGAAGCAAGGCCGUGCAGCAGCUCCCGGGGAGCCGGCUUAUGCAGUCGUGGCAAGGAGAAGCUCUGGCGGCGCCACGACCAGGCGAGGCCGCGCGGCGGCUUACCAGGGAGCCGACUUAUGCAGUUGCGACAAGGAGAAGCUCCGGCGGCGCCGCGACCAGACGAGGCCGCGCGACGGCUCACAGGGGAGCCGGCUGA
rnacentral:rRNA from 1 species